CAUUUAGAAAGUUAAUAGCACACUUUUUGUCAACAAGUAGCAUGAUGUAUCAUAUAUCUGUUGCAUAAAUGGUGCAAGAUAAAGUUUAUUACUUAAGAUUAGGGCUUUGUUUAAAUAACUUUAACCUUCGGAGGGAGAAAUGCAGACUAGCACAGAGCAGCAAUGCUUGGCAUUCAGCAGACAAAAGGGUGGGACUGGCAGCAAAAGCAGCGAUGAGUAAAGCUCAUGUUCUCCUUUAUGAGCCUCGCAUUUGAUUACAGUAAGGCUCAGAGUUGAGGAACUUUUUACAGGAUUACUGCCAGUUUCUUUCAGCACACACACACACACUCACACACACAGAGUCAUUCACUGCUGGAUGCUGGAGCGUCUCUGUGAAACCGGAGUGGGCUGAAGCUAUAAUGAGCGGUAUGAAGGGAUGAUGUUGAAGACUGGCCGAGCCAGUCAGGGGUAAACAGUGGGGAGUUUCCUUCGGAUUCUACGAUCCGCUCUUCUCGUUUGUCUCUGUUAGGCAGUCUGUUCUACUUUGAUCCCGGAGAAGCUGAAAGAGGCUACAAAAAGAUUCGUUCAGAAACUAAACACCGCUGUGCUGCUCAGAGAUGUGCAACCAUUCUGCUAUGGCUUCAAAGCCUAAAAACCUCACUGGACUUCACGAUUAUCCUCCUGGCAUGGAUCGCUGGACAUUUCGGAAGAGCGAGGAACAUUAAGACUGGAGAAUUACAGUCCUUCUUUGGAGUUUGUGAGGCUUAUGGAUUCCACAUCACACAAGACUGCACUUUAUUUUGCAAGAAUUUGAUGCAGUCUGUUCGACCCAUCCUUGUUUUAUGUGGCAUCAACCCUUUACACUUCCUUCCCCACAUAUUGUAAAGCAAAAUAGAUAUGAGAAACAUCAGAGAGAAAAGCCAAACGGAGGACGUCAUAGGAAAUGGGUUUUCAUAAAACAUCCUUCAAAGGCAUUUUAAAAUUUUCCCAUGAUUACACUGUAAUGAAUUCCUAAAACGACUUAAUCAAGUUCGCGCUACUUGGGUGGCAAGUAAAUGCAGAAAUGACGGGUUGCAUGAUAAACUGUGAAACCCGAUGAGCCCACAUGGCUGUGAUUCAAAUCACACAUACUGCUACACCACUUAUUUUUCAAAUAGGUAAUACUCUGGUAAUCUCAGAGUACCAUGCAAAUACACAUUUUUAUGCUGUCAGAACAUCACUAUACUCUGACACAGCUUCAGAUAACUCUACACAACUUCAGAUAACAUUCUUUUCCCCGAUGUAAUGAGACUUUUUUAGAUUUACAUCUUUUUCUCACCUCUUCUCUACAUCUGCCUCACAAAGACUGCAAAUUAAUCUUAUUGGAUGCAAUAAGUGAUGUUAACUGUUUAUUUCAAAACCCUUAUCUUUCUUGCCUUUUUAGAGAGAAAAUUGCAUCAAGUUUCUUAUCUGGGUGUAGUGGAUAAUUAGGGAAAUACCUAGAGUUAAGCCAAGCAUGGGAGAAGCAGGAGUUGGGGUGGGACGGCGGGGGUUACCGGCUUGUUGUGGCUGUGUGGGUUCCUGGCAUGCUGAUUUGUGACUGUAGUGAAAAAUCACAUUGCCAGGGAUUACCACACUGCCAUGGCCUUACCAGCAGUUCAUGAGGAAAUGGACAAAAAUGGAGGAAAUUUUAAAAAAGGGCACCUGACAUAGCAGAAUGAGAAAGGGGAACUCCAUUAGGGUGUUUAUACUUGAACAGCAAAACAACUGCAUUUGUGAUGACGUUCUGAGCGGGUGCAGAGCUUAGCUGAUUGGUGAACGUGCACAGUUUGCUUUUUUGUUCACAGUGGCUAAGUUCUUCACCUGAAAAGAAACUAAUAAAAUGCAUUUUUUUCUGUUGGAAAGGCUAUGCCCUGUAUAUGUGCCACACUAUUAAAAAUAAAAUAAAAAAAAGUUGAUUCAACUUAAAAAAGAAAGUGUUUCAUGCUGCCCUAAAUUUUUAAGUUCACUCAACUCAAAUACCCACAUUUUCACAUAGUACAACUUAGCAUUUCAUGUUGACUAAACUUAAAAUUUUAAGGCAGCACAAACACUUACUUUUUAAAGUUGAAGCAACUUUUUUUAAAACACUUAAUCAUAUGUUAACUGCAAUUAAAUUAAUAAUGUAUUAUAGUAAAAAAAAAAAUAUUAAAUGCAAUUAGCUAAAGUUUACUUUAGAGUGCUUUAAGUAGACGUAAGUACAUCUUUACAUUUUUACAUCUUUACAUCUUUACAUAAUCUCAUAAUUACAUUGAAAUGUAGUAAAAAUGCACUGCUGAAUGUACCGACUAGGAUUUAUGGUAAACUAAAAUAUACUUUAAUGCCAUUUCUGUUGAAACUUGUAUGUCAUUUAUUUAACCUUUUAACUGUCAACUGUCCCUUCAGUGAAGUUUACUUCACUCUAUUAUAAAUAAAUCUUGUAAUAUAAUCUAUUUAUGACAAAUUAUAUAUCGUUGAAAAGUCUAAGACUCCUAAAUAGAUAUUUUACCACUGUUUUUUGUUACAAAUUAUGUAGGAACAGUAAUAAAUUAAUUUAUGACAAGAGUGCGCCUCAAAAAUCUACAUCAUUCUGACCUUUGUCACAAAAAGUUAGUACACUUAAAUUAUAUUAACCUUAGGUAUAACAUCGAAUUUACUACAGUUACAAUUUUAAUCAAGUAUUUCCAUGUGCUUUAGUAUGGUAAUCAACACAUCUUAACUUUUUAAAGUGCAAAAGAUUAUUAAAACAGUGUAU